rnacentral:misc_RNA from 1 species
GAAAUGCGAUAAGUAGUGUGAAUUGCAGAAUUCAGUGAAUCAUCGAAUCUUUGAACGCACAUUGCGCCCCUUGGUAUUCCAUGGGGCAUGCCUGUUCGAGCGUCAUUUGUACCCUCAAGCUCUGCUUGGUGUUGGGUGUUUGUCCCCGUCUCCGCGCGUGGACUCGCCCCAAAGUGAUUGGCAGCCGGCGUACUGGUCCCGGAGCGCAGCACAUGUCGAGCAAACGAGUGCCUUGGUACGGCGGCGUCCAUAAGCCCCUCUCUCACGCUCUUGACCUCGGAUCAGGUAGGGAUACCCGCUGAACUUAAGC